AUGUCGCUGAAUACCCAACUGAGAUCGGCUUAUGCAGUUCCGAAACAGGAUCCGACCACCGCAAACUACCACCGACCACGCAACCUGCCGUUAGGCAAAGGAACCUGCCACCGAUCACUUUUCUCACUCGGCCCUAAUGGGAGUAAAGGCUACUCUGCUAUUAUUUUUCAGAAGCAGCCUCUCCUGCACCCCAGACCUUCUGACCUGAAUGGAGCUGGAUCAGCCCGACAGACCCGGCCAGCACAUAGUGUGAAGCAGAUGGGCCGGCUGGUGAUGAGGCGACUGUGUGUGCCAGAGUUAGACCAGAGGUUUUCAGACAUGGCCGAGACCUUCAACGACCAGCACCAGCGCUACGAGGCCAUGGUCCGACAUAUCAGAAACCUGCGUCAGAGCUCUGGGUGUAACCAUGAUGAUACACUUUCAUUAGCAGAAUGUCUGGGGACCAUCAGAGCUGAGCAUGAGACCAGGUACAGGGUCUCCCUUAAGAUGAAGGGCUAUGACUUCACCCUCAGUGUGGUUCCUGUGGUUGAAGGGGAGGAGGAGCCACCACCUCCUCCACACCUGCAACUGGCUCAGAGUGAAAUGAAGAGCACCUCAGAGUGCGCCAAAGCCACCAUUUCAAAGGGUACCACCCUUCAAGAGUUAGUAGGCUGGCUUCUCCGUAGCAAAAAUGAAAUGGCUGAGCGAGUGAAAGAAGCUGCAGGAACUUUACAGGAGCAAGGAAGACUCAAUGAGAACCUGGAGAAGAACCUGAAGGAAGUGAGGAGGGCCAAGGAGUUGUCGCUGGGAUACAGACAACGGGCCGGGGAGGUCCUCACCGAGGCCGCUCAGAUAGCAGGAACUUGUCUGUAA
ensembl:lncRNA